CUGUGAGUUCCCGUGGCAGGUUCUUUAGGAACCAUGGAUGGCUCUUUAUUUCCAUCAUUGUGAUUCUCUGGAAAUAGUUGUAAAAAAUAUGGCAUCAACACUCGGCAGGAUUAUCAUGACUGUCAUUUACAGGUGAAGAUUGACUGGAAUGAGGGCAAAGUGAUGUGGAGGAAGAGAAAUGCUAGCAGACAUUGGAUGGUUAUUUACAGCAUUGACUAUAGCCUGUCACCUGAACGGUCUUGCGUAUAUUCUUGGGAUCAUCCGGGUCUUCAAAUGGGUAUGCUCCCACAAGCAUGACGUAAAGAGUCACCCCACAGGACCAGACAUCUGCAA